rnacentral:lncRNA from 1 species
ACAACACUAGAAAGAUUUUUUAUCUACACCAAGUGCCCUAAGCCAACCUCGUGUUGGAAAAAUGGGUUUGGAAAAUGCAGCAAAAAAUAAAUUUAGGGAAAAACCAACUAUAAGGGCCCAAUUUUGUCCGGGCCCUAAACAACAACUAAAAAUAAAAAUAAAAAACAAAAAUUAACAGUCCCAAAGUCCAAUUACAUGCCAGGCCUAAUACACCAACAGCCCAAA